UACCUGUUUUAAGUUCCCUGCAUUAAUAAUAAGGGCAGCCUCCUUGAAAUCUAUGUUAAAAAUAUCUGAGAUUUAUUGCUUUUUCAGCCACCGAAACUGGAGUGGUGGGCGUUUCUGAUAAUGGCCUUUGGUGUGUUCGCGAUAUUUCUGCUUAUCAACUUUUUUGUUAAGAAAAUCAAUGAUACCCGAAUCGAAGAAAGAUUUAAAAGGAUGUCCGAAAGAUCCACCAAUCAAGCUACGCAAGUCAGGGAAUCUCUAGAACUUACAUAUCAAAAGGAAGAAAUUAAUCCAGCUAACGUUUCGCUUGUUUUCAACAAAGAGGACAAUUUAAAAACGAGAAAUAAAGAAGACUUAGUGAAAUCUGGACCGAGUUUUAUAGACGAUAAUUAUGUAUCCGAUUGGAUGAUUGUUUAUGGUCGAAAGAAAAGUAAUAGUUAUGAACAAGGUAACGGUAAUGGUAAAAGAAAUAGCAAGAACAAUAAUUUUGAAUCUGAACGUGACAAUCUGAAGAAGUGGGUUGAAAAUCUUAUUAUAAACAUAGUUAAAGAAGCUAUGGCUUUUAAAUAAAGUAUCCCGCAUAUUAUAGAAUAAUUUUAGUAGUAACCCUAGUUUUAUGUGCUUAGAUAAAUACUUAUUUAAUGGAAGUGUUAUUAUGAAAUGCAAUGCAAUUUUUAAUACUUUCUUAUAUAUUAACCUUUUUGAAUAAAACUAAAAUCAUAAUUGUGAACAUACAUAGUUACCAAAAAAAAAUGUG